CAAAUGUACUCCUGCAUUUAAACAUUAACACUACAUACAGACACAUCCCUACAUUCUAAGGUAAACACUACACACAAGUAAACCAUUGCUUUCAAAUGGCAACAGUACAUAAAAACACAAAACACAACAGACAAAUACACCUUUACAUGCACACACAUAUACUCUAUACAAAACUAUUCUUAUAUUCAAACAAUCAAACACUGCUCAGU